GACGAACGCUGGCGGCGUGCUUAACACAUGCAAGUCGAACGGAAAGGCCCCUUUUGGGGUGCUCGAGUGGCGAACGGGUGAGUAACACGUGGGUGAUCUGCCCUGCACUUUGGGAUAAGCCUGGGAAACUGGGUCUAAUACCGGAUAGGACCGGAUGCUGCAUGGUGUGUGGUGGAAAGCUUUUGCGGUGUGGGAUGGGCCCGCGGCCUAUCAGCUUGUUGGUGGGGUGAUGGCCUACCAAGGCGACGACGGGUAGCCGGCCUGAGAGGGUGUCCGGCCACACUGGGACUGAGAUACGGCCCAGACUCCUACGGGAGGCAGCAGUGGGGAAUAUUGCACAAUGGGCGCAAGCCUGAUGCAGCGACGCCGC
rnacentral:rRNA from 1 species